rnacentral:sRNA from 1 species
UUUAAAGUUCCCCUAUUGCCAGCCUUAUGUCUUAAUUGAAUUCAUCUUCAGAGAAGCUGAAAGAGUUUUCAAAAGAAUAACUAGGCUGGGUGCAGUGGCUCACGCCUGUAAUCCCAGCACUUUGGGAGGCCGAGGCGGGUAGAUCAUGAGGUCAAGAGAUCGAGACCAUCCUGGCCAACGUGGUGAAAUCCCAUCUCUACUAAAAAUACAAAAAAUUAGCCGGGCGUGGUGGCGGGCGCCUGUAAUCCCAGCUACUUGGGAGGCUGAGGCAGGAGAAUCACUUGAACCCAGGAGGUGGAGGUUGCAAUGAGUCGAGAUUGCACCACUGCACUCCAGCCUGGUGACAGAAUGAGACUCCGUCUAAAAAAAAAAAAAAAAGAAAGAAUAACUAUGGAGAACUUUUUUCCUAGUAACAAUGCGUCAGUUUGACCAUCCUCAUAUUGUGAAGCUGAUUGGAGUCAUCACAGAGAAUCCUGUCUGGAUAAUCAUGGAGCUGUGCACACUUGGAGAGCUGAGGUCAUUUUUGCAAGUAAGGAAAUACAGUUUGGAUCUAGCAUCUUUGAUCCUGUAUGCCUAUC